rnacentral:rRNA from 1 species
GACGAACGCUGGCGGCGUGCUUAACACAUGCAAGUCGAACGGAAAGGCCCUGCUUUUGUGGGGUGCUCGAGUGGCGAACGGGUGAGUAACACGUGAGUAACCUGCCCUUGACUUUGGGAUAACUUCAGGAAACUGGGGCUAAUACCUGAUAGGAGCUCCUGCUGCAUGGUGGGGGUUGGAAAGUUUCGGCGGUUGGGGAUGGACUCGCGGCUUAUCAGCUUGUUGGUGGGGUAGUGGCUUACCCAGGCUUUGACGGGUAGCCGGCCUGAGAGGGUGACCGGCCACAUUGGGACUGAGAUACGGCCCAGACUCCUACGGGAGGCAGCAGUGGGGAAUAUUGCACAAUGGGCGGAAGCCUGAUGCAGCAACGCCGCGUGCGGGAUGACGGCCUUCGGGUUGUAAACCGCUUUCGCCUGUGACGAAGCGUGAGUGACGGUAAUGGGUAAAGAAGCACCGGCUAACUACGUG